GAAAAUAAGCUAAUUAAGCUAUUAAACUUACAAUUUAACUAUAAUACUGUGUUUUUUCC
rnacentral:tRNA from 1 species